UACGUAGGGGGCGAGCGUUGUCCGGAAUUAUUGGGCGUAAAGAGCUCGUAGGCGGCUUAGUAAGUCGGCGGUGAAAUACCGAGGCUCAACCUCGGCACUGCCGUCGAUACUGCUAUGGCUAGAGUUUGGUAGAGGAGAACGGAAUUCCCGGUGUAGCGGUGGAAUGCGCAGAUAUCGGGAGGAACACCCGUAGCGAAGGCGGUUCUCUAGUACGGUACUGACGCUGAGACGCGAAAGCGUGGGGAGCGAACAGG
rnacentral:rRNA from 1 species